rnacentral:rRNA from 1 species
UAAUAGCGUAUAUUAAAGUUGUUGCAGUUAAAAGCUCGUAGUCGGAUGUCGGGCUCGGGCAGGCUGUCGGCUUCGGUCGGACGGCAGGCUCGGGUCUUUCUGCCUGAGGAUCCCGUUGCACUUAAUUGUGGGGUCGUGGGAGCGCGAGGCCGUUUACUUUUGAAAAAUUAGAAGUGUUCAAAGCAGGCCUACGCUUGAAUACAUUAGCAUGGAAUAAUGGAAUAGGACUUUGGUGCUAUUUUGUUGGUUUAUGGGACCGAAGUAAUGAUUAACAGGGACAGUUGGGGCCGUUAUAUUCGUUGUCAGAGGUGAAAUUCUUGGAUUUACGAAAGAUAAACUUCUGCGAAAGCAUUCG